rnacentral:rRNA from 1 species
AGAGUGAACGCUGGCGGUAGGCCUAACACAUGCAAGUCGAACGGCAGCACAGUGGUAGCAAUACCAUGGGUGGCGAGUGGCGGACGGGUGAGGAAUACAUCGGAAUCUACCUUUUCGUGGGGGAUAACGUAGGGAAACUUACGCUAAUACCGCAUACGCCCUUCGGGGGAAAGCCGGGAUCGCAAGACCUGGCGCGGAUAGAUGAGCCGAUGUCGGAUUAGCUAGUUGGUGAGGUAAUGGCUCACCAAGGCGACGAUCCGUAGCUGGUCUGAGAGGAUGAUCAGCCACACUGGAACUGAGACACGGUCCAGACUCCUACGGGAGCAGCAGUGGGGAAUAUUGGACAAUGGGGACNC